rnacentral:rRNA from 1 species
UUCGCCCUUAGAGUUUGAUCAUGGCUCAGGAUGAACGCUGGCGGCGUGCCUAAUACAUGCAAGUCGAGCGAACGGACGAGAAGCUUGCUUCUCUGAUGUUAGCGGCGGACGGGUGAGUAACACGUGGAUAACCUACCUAUAAGACUGGGAUAACUUCGGGAAACCGGAGCUAAUACCGGAUAAUAUUUUGAACCGCAUGGUUCAAAAGUGAAAGACGGUCUUGCUGUCACUUAUAGAUGGAUCCGCGCUGCAUUAGCUAGUUGGUAAGGUGACGGCUUACCAAGGCAACGAUGCAUAGCCGACCUGAGAGGGUGAUCGGCCACACUGGAACUGAGACACGGUCCAGACUCCUACGGGAGGCAGCAGUAGGGAAUCUUCCGCAAUGGGCGAAAGCCUGACGGAGCAACGCCGCGUGAGUGAUGAAGGUCUUCGGAUCGUAAAACUCUGUUAUUAGGGAAGAACAUAUGUGUAAGUAACUGUGCACAUCUUGACGGUACCUAAUCAGAAAGCCACGGCUAACUACGUGCCAGCAGCCGCGGUAAUACGUAGGUGGCAAGCGUUAUCCGGAAUUAUUGGGCGUAAAGCGCGCGUAGGCGGUUUUUUAAGUCUGAUGUGAAAGCCCACGGCUCAACCGUGGAGGGUCAUUGGAAACUGGAAAACUUGAGUGCAGAAGAGGAAAGUGGAAUUCCAUGUGUAGCGGUGAAAUGCGCAGAGAUAUGGAGGAACACCAGUGGCGAAGGCGACUUUCUGGUCUGUAACUGACGCUGAUGUGCGAAAGCGUGGGGAUCAAACAGGAUUAGAUACCCUGGUAGUCCACGCCGUAAACGAUGAGUGCUAAGUGUUAGGGGGUUUCCGCCCCUUAGUGCUGCAGCUAACGCAUUAAGCACUCCGCCUGGGGAGUACGACCGCAAGGUUGAAACUCAAAGGAAUUGACGGGGACCCGCACAAGCGGUGGAGCAUGUGGUUUAAUUCGAAGCAACGCGAAGAACCUUACCAAAUCUUGACAUCCUUUGACAACUCUAGAGAUAGAGCCUUCCUCUUCGGGGGACAAAGUGACAGGUGGUGCAUGGUUGUCGUCAGCUCGUGUCGUGAGAUGUUGGGUUAAGUCCCGCAACGAGCGCAACCCUUAAGCUUAGUUGCCAUCAUUAAGUUGGGCACUCUAAGUUGACUGCCGGUGACAAACCGGAGGAAGGUGGGGAUGAGGUCAAAUCAUCAUGCCCCUUAUGAUUUGGGCUACACACGUGCUACAAUGGACAAUACAAAGGGCAGCGAAACCGCGAGGUCAAGCAAAUCCCAUAAAGUUGUUCUCAGUUCGGAUUGUAGUCUGCAACUCGACUACAUGAAGCUGGAAUCGCUAGUAAUCGUAGAUCAGCAUGCUACGGUGAAUACGUUCCCGGGUCUUGUACACACCGCCCGUCACACCACGAGAGUUUGUAACACCCGAAGCCGGUGGAGUAACCUUUUAGGAGCUAGCCGUCGAAGGUGGGACAAAUGAUUGGGGUGAAGUCGUAACAAGGUAAC